rnacentral:rRNA from 2 species
GUUCAUCCCUUGACGGUAUCUAACCAGAAAGCCACGGCUAACUACGUGCCAGCAGCCGCGGUAAUACGUAGGUGGCAAGCGUUGUCCGGAUUUAUUGGGCGUAAAGCGAGCGCAGGCGGUUUCUUAAGUCUGAUGUGAAAGCCCCCGGCUCAACCGGGGAGGGUCAUUGGAAACUGGGAGACUUGAGUGCAGAAGAGGAGAGUGGAAUUCCAUGUGUAGCGGUGAAAUGCGUAGAUAUAUGGAGGAACACCAGUGGCGAAGGCGGCUCUCUGGUCUGUAACUGACGCUGAGGCUCGAAAGCGUGGGGAGCGAACAGGAUUAGAUACCCUGGUAGUCCACGCCGUAAACGAUGAGUGCUAAGUGUUGGAGGGUUUCCGCCCUUCAGUGCUGCAGCAAACGCAUUAAGCACUCCGCCUGGGGAGUACGACCGCAAGGUUGAAACUCAAAGGAAUUGACGGGGGCCCGCACAAGCGGUGGAGCAUGUGGUUUAAUUCGAAGCAACGCGAAGAACCUUACCAGGUCUUGACAUCCUUUGACCACUCUAGAGAUAGAGCUUCCCCUUCGGGGGCAAAGUGACAGGUGGUGCAUGGUUGUCGUCAGCUCGUGUCGUGAGAUGUUGGGUUAAGUCCCGCAACGAGCGCAACCCUUAUUGUUAGUUGCCAUCAUUUAGUUGGGCACUCUAGCGAGACUGCCGGUGACAAACCGGAGGAAGGUGGGGAUGACGUCAAAUCAUCAUGCCCCUUAUGACCUGGGCUACACACGUGCUACAAUGGGAAGUACAACGAGUUGCGAAGUCGCGAGGCUAAGCUAAUCUCUUAAAGCUUCUCUCAGUUCGGAUUGUAGGCUGCAACUCGCCUACAUGAAGCCGGAAUCGCUAGUAAUCGCGGAUCAGCACGCCGCGGUGAAUACGUUCCCGGGCCUUGUACACACCGCCCGUCACACCACGAGAGUUUGUAACACCCGAAGUCGGUGAGGUAACCUUUUUGGAGCCAGCCGCCUAAGGUGGGAUAGAUGAUUGGGGUGAAGUCGUAACAAGGUAGCCGUAUCGGAAGGUGCGGCUGGAUCACCUCCUUUCUAAGGAA